rnacentral:lncRNA from 1 species
CGCACUGUCCCCACUUCCCCAUCCUCAGAAUAAACUCUAGUUUCACACCCUGAUGGUAGGAGGGAGGGAGUUGAAAAUGCUGACUCCGUUGUGUGUACCCAACGAACCAACUGUCCCUGGGCUGCUGGAACUUCUGAGGUACACUUGCCACUUUUGCCGCUGCUCCACAUCUCCCAGACCACGAGAUGCCAUCCCAGGACUGGACUGUCUCCUCCCUGACGCUGGAUACUGCUGCUGCUCUCCCCAAGGCGUGUCUCCCCAACAUGGACAUAGGCUUCAUCCUUCCCUCCCCAAAGCACAGAGAAGACCAGCAUGUGAGGUAAUGGGGAAUGAGUGUCCACUGAGCCAAGUCAAGCUGAGAGCUUGGAAUCAUGGGAGCCAGCAGCGAUCUUGGCAGAACUCGGCUAUUUGUUGA